AGAGUGAACGCUGGCGGUAGGCCUAACACAUGCAAGUCGAACGGCAGCACAGUGGUAGCAAUACCAUGGGUGGCGAGUGGCGGACGGGUGAGGAAUACAUCGGAAUCUACCUUUUCGUGGGGGAUAACGUAGGGAAACUUACGCUAAUACCGCAUACGCCCUUCGGGGGAAAGCCGGGGAUCGCAAGACCUGGCGCGGAUAGAUGAGCCGAUGUCGGAUUAGCUAGUUGGUGAGGUAAUGGCUCACCAAGGCGACGAUCCGUAGCUGGUCUGAGAGGAUGAUCAGCCACACUGGAACUGAGACACGGUCCAGACUCCUACGGGAGGCAGCAGUGGGAAUAUUGGACAAUGGGCGCAAGCCUGAUCCAGCCAUACCGCGUGGGUGAAGAAGGCCUUGGUUGUAAAGCCCGUUUUAGUAGGAAAGAAAGCAAGUCGGUUAAUACCCGGUUAGUCCUGACGUACCCAAAGAAUAAGCACCGACUAACUCGUAGCCAGCAGCCG
rnacentral:rRNA from 1 species